CACGGGGUUGCGAGCGUUGUCCGGAAUUACUAGGCGUAAAGGGCAGGCAGGCGGAUCCAUAAGUUUAUCGUUUAAGGCGUCGCCUUAACCGGCGUAGGGCGGUAGAUACUGUGGAUCUGGAAUGCGGUUGGGGAAUACAGAAUUCCUGGUGUAGCGGUGGAAUGCGCAGAGAUCAGGAGGAAUACCGAAGGCGAAGGCAGUCUUCCAAGCCGUUAUUGACGCUCAACUGCGAAGGUGUGGGUAUCAAACAGGAUUAGAUACCCUGGUAGUUCCUGA
rnacentral:rRNA from 1 species